rnacentral:rRNA from 1 species
GUAUGGGGCAAGCGUUAUCCGGAAUUAUUGGGCGUAAAGAGUGCGUAGGUGGUGGCUUAAGCGCAGGGUUUAAGGCAAUGGCUUAACUAUUGUUCGCCUUGCGAACUGGGUCACUUGAGUACAGGAGAGGAAAGCGGAAUUCCUAGUGUAGCGGUGAAAUGCAUAGAUAUUAGGAGGAACACCGGUGGCGAAGGCGGCUUUCUGGACUGCAACUGACACUGAGGCACGAAAGCGUGGGUAGCAAACAGGAUUAGAUACCCUGGUAGUCCACGCCGUAAACGAUGAGCACUAGGUGUCGGCCAAUAAAGGUCGGUGCCGCAGUUAACGCAUUAAGUGCUCCGCCUGGGGAGU